rnacentral:rRNA from 1 species
AUACGAAGGGGGCAAGCGUUGUUCGGAAUAACUGGGCGUAAAGCGCACGUAGGCGGAAUGUUAAGUUAGAGGUGAAAUCCCAGGGCUCAACCCUGGAACUGCCUUUAAUACUGGCAAUCUAGAGACCGAGAGAGGUGAGUGGAAUUCCGAGUGUAGAGGUGAAAUUCGUAGAUAUUCGGAGGAACACCAGUGGCGAAGGCGGCUCACUGGCUCGGUACUGACGCUGAGGCGCGAAAGCGUGGGGAGCAAACAGGAUUAGAAACCCUAGUAGUCC